rnacentral:rRNA from 1 species
CAAUAGCGUAUAUUUAAGUUGUUGCAGUUAAAAAGCUCGUAGUCGGAUUUUGGCUGAGAACGAACGGUCCGCCGUUAGGUGUGCACUGUUUGGUCUCAGCUUCCUGGUGUGGAGGUGUGCUUCACAGCCACUUAGUCACCGUGGUUACUUUGAAAAAAUUAGAGUGUUCAAAGCGGGCUUACGCUUGAAUAUAUUAGCAUGGAAUAACACCAUAGGACUCCUGUCCUAUUUCGUUGGUCUCGGGACGGGAGUAAUGAUUAAGAGGAACAGUUGGGGGCAUUCGUAUUUCAUUGUCAGAGGUGAAAUUCUUGGAUUUAUGAAAGACGAACUUCUGCGAAAGCAUUUGCCAAGGAUGUUUUCAUUGA